GAAAUAAAUCGCUGUGAACUACACUACCCACAAGGCAUAAAACCAUCAUGAUCAGCGCAACAACCUCUUUCGCCCAAAUGCUGCAGAAACGAUCCACCGCAUAUUGGGGAAAUUAGCCAGCUGAUACUUCUGCUAAUGUCCAGUGGUGAUGUUCGGCAGCCUCUCAGCGAGUAGUCUGCAGGUGAGUCUACCAGCAGUGGGAGAGCAGCAGUGACACCAUGGCCAGAGAGGAGGCUGUGAGCACACUGGUCAUACGGGAGACUCCACUGGGGGAUGCAGCUGGAUGUGGAAAAAGCCAUUUCAAAAAGGCCCCAACACAGCCAUCAGGUGAAACUUCCACUUAUUUGGUUUCCGAAAAGUCCUUGGUGCAAUUGAUAGUUUGCAAAUGCCCAUCAGGGCACCGACUGAGGAAACAAACACACUUUUGUGUGAAUAAAAUGGUAGAGCCCUCUGUAAACAUACAAGCUGUAUGUCAUGCCAGUUACAGAGGCUAUUCGAUUCUGUAGGUACAUAUCCUGGGAGCACACACAACAGCUUGCAACUGGAGCAACUGUGAUUUAUGUCACUGCUUUGUCACAGGUGAUAUUACUGAUGGAUGGCUUCUAGGUGACAGUGGUAGGUUUAAUGUGAAUAUUACAAAUAGCACAACGCCUAACGUUACUAUGAAGUCUAUGCUAAAUUAGGUGAACUGGGGAGACACAAUAGUUAAAAUAAAUCAUUAAAAUUACAUUUUUAAAUUACAAUGUAUUCGUAGUCAUAAUUCAUUCUGACCCCAAGUGAAAUUUCUCCACCCCCAUGAAACCUUGGCUUCUGACACCUGUGGCCAGCCCACACAGAGCAGAGGAGCGGCACAAUGGUGUGCACAAAAGCAAAAGUAUGAUACAAAACCAAAAAGAGGAAGAACAAUAGCAAAUUUACUGAUUGCCAAUGUGAAUGCUCCAGUGACAUGUUUGCUUGCAAUUUAGAUUUCUACGUAAAAUUCUACAAAAAAAUAGAAAUUGAUCACAUCUCAUAGAUCGCUGCUCACAUGUCACAACUUUCGUGAAGCUCAGCCAUGUCACUCUCCUUUUCAUCUCCCUCCACUGGCUGCCUAUUUCAGCUUGCAUCAAAUUCAAAACCUUAGUGUUAGCCCAUUGGGCAGCAAAAGGGACAACUCUGUUCUGUCUUCAAAAUAUCAUCAGACCCUAUACACCUACCAGACCCCUCCUGCUACCUCUGGGGAUCUGGCGCCUCCCACCUCCCUGCAUCCAGGUCACCACUCCUAUCUGUUCUGGCCCCCCCGAUGGUGGAAUGAGUUUCCUACUGCAAUCAAAACAGCAGAAACCCAGCCCAUAUUCAAACACAUAACUGAAGACUAACCCAUUCAGAUUGGACCAUGGCUCCCCUCACCCCAUCUAGUUAACUUUUCUUUUUCUCUUUCUUUCUUUGGCUUUCCCUUUGAAUAAUUGUAUAGUUGUAGCUGUGUAAAGAUUGUGUAAAGGUUAUCUGUUUAGUGGAACUUUUUAAGUUGUGAUACAAAUUGUUGUUUGUUAGGUUAACAUUACACUUACUGAUUAAUGUGCCUCUGUGCCUACUUGGUGAUAUCACAUUUUUGUAUUCCUGAGAGUUAGAUUGAGAGUUCUAUAUCACUGUAUGUGUGUCUGCUAUGUGUAGUGUAAAGCGACUGCUAACUUGUAAUGUAAUGAUUAGGUUUGCUUCACACCCAUAUAAAAUGUAUCUCCGUCAACUAUGUUUGAUUAAAACGCAUUGAUUUGCAUUGUUUAUAGGGUUGUGGCAUAGAACUGAAAUGUUUUGCUUUAAAUGGUUUUUUAUUUUGAAAUCCGUUUAAAAAAAUUUUCCUGUAAAAAAUAAAACAGAAAGACUGGCGGAAAAAACUGUAAUACUUUUGUGACCGUACAUGUAUCAAGCUUUUUAAACCAUAUAGCAGCCAUUGACUUGGGUAUAUGAUUUAGUGGAUAAUUUAGUGGAUUAUCCACCUUGGAAAAUGACCACCUUGCCUGCCAAUUUUUAGAACAUUUGUUUCUGAUGACUUAGAGUAAAUGUACAUUUUUUUCUACUCCAAUCACUUAUUAUUAUUAUUAUUAUUGUUGUUGUUGUUGUUGUUGUUUUAAAACCAUAAUUAUAAUAUGUAAUAUUAUAAUACAUUUUGUUUGUAGAACAUCUUUCAGGCAGAAUUUUCAGCUCAAAUGUGUUCAUAUAAAAGUAUAAUAAAAACAGG